rnacentral:rRNA from 1 species
CUUGGAGGGAUCAGCCGACGAUGGGACAAACAUAAACCUUUUGUAAUUGCAAUCAGCGUCAGGGACAAAUUAAUAAUUACAACUUUCAACAACGGAUCUCUUGGUUCUGGCAUCGAUGAAGAACGCAGCGAAAUGCGAUAAGUAGUGUGAAUUGCAGAAUUCAGUGAAUCAUCGAAUCUUUGAACGCACAUUGCGCCCUUUGGUAUUCCAAAGGGCAUGCCUGUUCGAGCGUCAUUUGUACCCUCAAGCUUUGCUUGGUGUUGGGCGUCUUGUCUCUAGCUUUGCUGGAGACUCGCCUUAAAGUAAUUGGCAGCCGGCCUACUGGUUUCGGAGCGCAGCACAAGUCGCACUCUCUAUCAGCAAAGGUCUAGCAUCCAUUAAGCCUUUUUUCAACUUUUGACCUCGGAUCAGGUAGGGAUACCCGCUGAACUUAAGCAUAUCAAUCAGCAGGAGGAAGAUUCCGCAGUU